GGAGACGACAAGGGCAAGAGGCUCGGCGGCGCGUGUCACCCGGGGGGCUUCGCCUGCCUGCCUGCCUGCCCUCUGCGCCUCCUCCCCCCCCCCCCACUUGGUCGAGGCACCUGCUCGUGGCGGCUUUUGCAAGGCAGGGGCGCGCGCCCGCGGCAGCCACGCGGCAGCAUCCACCUGCCCUUCCCUUCGCUCCAAGGCGGGCGGGCGGCAGAGCUGAGCCCUGCAGAUGAAAAGAGAAGGGGGGGAGUGGGUAUAUAGUGUGGCGGGUUGGGAGCGAGAGCCUGGCCUCCCCGGCCGCCUGUCUCCGCAACUCGCCUUGCAGAUAAACACCGGCGCAGUUGUACUCAAUGCUGACUUGAGAAACAACUUUCCAGGGAAGUUUUGUGGGCCUUGGGCCGCACAGGCUACUGUCAAUGGUUGUGACAAUCAAGACUGAAGAACCAAGAGGUGGACAUGCUUUGUUAAUCCGAGACCAUUCCUUUUUUUGGAAUGGGGUCUUGGCUCAGCAGUAGAACAUCUGUUUGGCGUUCAGAAGGUCCAAUCUCCGGCAUAUCCAGUUAAAAGGUGACGAGAAAGACCUCUGUCUGAGACCCUGUGGAAGGACAAUUCUGAAUUUGAUGGACUGAUGGUCUAAUUCUGUAUAAGGCGGAUUCGUGUGUUCCUGUGGAAUGUUUCCCUGUGCCCAUGUGCCUGCAAGGUCCUUGAAGAACAUUCUGACGCAGUGACAGAUUGUGGAUGUCCCUCGCCCACUGGCUCUGUCUUCUUUCUCUCCUCCCUCUCCCCCCACCCCGUUCUGAUUCCAGCUGCACUCCUGCUUAGUGACAUUCAGAUACAAGAAUGGAAUCCUUCAUGUCAAUCACCUACCCAGGUCCAUGUCAGCACAGCCCUCUAGGAUUUGCAUAUUUGGAACACUUGCAGGUAUUUGAAGGCAAGUAGGAAUGAGGAAGUGAUAUUUCAUCUGGAAAGAUCUGUAAAAGGUCAUGGCCAAGAAUUUGAGCUCAGAGAUGUAGCAACAGCCCAAGAUCAGAGAGGACGAUAGUGGGGAACUAAGGAGAGAGAUUCAGAAAGGAACUAGCCAGUAUGCAUAAGCUUCUGUUUGACCUUGGAGAAUAUAUGCUCAGUUUUAUUUCUCAGAGUGUGCUGCAGCUAUCCAUACAGAGCAUAGUGGUCAGAUAGUGAGGAAAGCUGCUCAUAGCUAUGAAUGAUUUUAUUGUGCAUGUGUUGUUCUCGUGACCUGAGAACUUGCACAGAGAAUACAAUUUUCUACAGAAAUAAUGGUUAUUUCGUAUUUCAUUUCUAUAUCAUCCAUAGCCAAAGCUCUCUGGGCAGCUUACAAGUAUAAAACCAUUAAAAUACAAUAAAUAAAAGUUAAAAACUUUUCAAAGUACAAAAAAAUACUACAUUAAUAAAAGCCAGUUAACAACCUGAUUGAACAUGUUGGGACCCCAUAAGACUAGAGAGAUCUUUAGAAGCUUCCUCAAAUAAUGCUGUCUUAAAUUCAAAGCACUGAAAGUUUUACCAGGUAGUGCAUACAUCAUGCUGGCCCUUAUGCAGAAGCAGCUCAUACAGUUGUGUUCAGGGGCUGUCUUAGCAUAUGGACAGCAGGGGCAGGUUCCAUGGGCCCUCACUUGGGGGGAUCCAAUACCCAUGGCUUCAACCCCAAAGAAGGGGAGAAAAGAAGAACAGGCUGUGCUGCCUCUUGCAUCUGGGGCUUGGGCCAGCUAGCUUUCAUUAGCAGGGGUGGCUCCCACCUACAUUGUACAGGGUGAAAGUCACCUCCUGUUUGGCUCUUUAAAAGCAGUGGGUGAGGUGGCAGUUUCUUUCUCAUCCAUCCAGGUGUUCAGCCUCAGAAUCAAAAGUACAUACUACUUUGUACUCAUGUAAUACCAGCCUGAUUUUCCUUUUUUUAAAAAAAGACCUAUAUUUUCUUUGUGCCCAUCUGUGGCUACUUUUGCCAACUAUCAGUACAGUUUGACUUUCUUACAUUAUACUAGUCCUCUACA